rnacentral:lncRNA from 1 species
CUUUUAAGGGAAAUUGAACCUGACUAAGGUGUGAUUAAUCAUCACCCCCACACUGACAUCACAUACAGCCAGGUAUCAUGUGAUGUCUCAGCAGCUGAUCCCAGUGAUCCUCCUAAUUCAAACACAUAACGAAUCUGGAAGGAUAUAUCCAUCUGCUGAGUUUUGUUUUGUUUUGUUGGUGUGUGAGAGAAAAAGGACUUUGUGGUGUUUUUUUGGUUGUUUUUUUUUUUUUUUUGACUACAGCAUAAUUUUAAGUCUCACCAAAGGUAUUUGUACAGAAAAAUACUCUUGUAGGGCUGGCAGAUAUACGAAGGACAACAUGAUUGCUGCCUUGCAGAAAAUAGUACCUUCUUAUCUGGUAUAUUGGAACACAAAAGCAGGAAUGAGACAAGAUGGGGCUGAAAGAUGAGAAAGGAACAAUGGAGAACUGUGGGGAUGGAGGAAGGGAGGAUAAAUGGAACAGCAUGGAGAUGAAGAAAACAAGAGCCAGGAAGAGGUGGAGGCUUUGGAGUGAGCCAAGGGGAUCAGAAGAGCAAGAAGAAACUUUAGCCUCUCUGAUCUAUAAGACUGCCUGUACUUUGCAUUUGCUGUUAAAUAUAGAUGGCAGCACGCAUUCUACGAGACAGAGAAACAUAAAGGAGGCCAGAAGAAACAAAUGCUGUGAAAAUGUCUUUGGGUUAUUCUAAAAAAGUGUAAAAGACUUUCAAGUUACUGGUCUUUUGAUUUAUUAUGAUGCUUCCGUGAUCGGAUGGUGUCUGUGCAGCUCUACAUUUCAGAUUUAUGUAUCUGUGCAGUAAACAUGAUUUCAAUUAUCUUUGACAAAUGUUUUGAUUUUACUCACAGCCUGCUUCUGUAUGGAGGGCAGUGUUUGUCCCGCUGUCCUAGUUACUCUGACCCAUUUACCUGGCCUGUGCCCCCGUGGCUGCAUUUGCGUCCUCUCCCCUUUGUUCUUGUUCAUUGGGAAAAGCUGCCUUGCACCACAUCAGAGCUGGCUGCGUUUGCUUGUCAGACAGAACGUUUCCCGAGUGGAAAUUUCUUAUGGGGUGGAGGAUCUUUAGUUUAGAUGCUAAUUAAAUGUAAUGUACUAGUGCUACUUUUAUUCCUAUUAAUGUGAGGAUUUCUGCCCAGCUCCAAUUAAUGUUAAUGUGAGGAAAAGGGAGAAAAAGGCAUUUUUGACAAGCUAAAGAAAAUUCUGUUCAAAUGUCUUUGUGUUUCCUCUACUCAUUAUGUGUUGAUAUAAAUGUAAAUGUCUAUGAGAAACGUGGAAAGGAAAAUGUAAGGCAAUACACACUUAUUUUUGGCCGCGAAUAGCAGUACUUAUGAGUCAAUUUUGGCUUUAUAGCCAAAGAGACUUGGCAACUAUGGUACUCAC